rnacentral:rRNA from 1 species
GGGGAAUCUUCCGCAAUGGACGAAAGUCUGACGGAGCAACGCCGCGUGAGUGAUGACGGCCUUCGGGUUGUAAAGCUCUGUUAAUCGGGACGAAUGGUUCUUGUGCGAAUAGUGCGAGGAUUUGACGGUACCGGAAUAGAAAGCCACGGCUAACUACGUGCCAGCAGCCGCGGUAAUACGUAGGUGGCAAGCGUUGUCCGGAAUUAUUGGGUGUAAAGCGCGCGCAGGCGGAUUGGUCAGUCUGUCUUAAAAGUUCGGGGCUUAACCCCGUGAUGGGAUGGAAACUGCCAAUCUAGAGUAUCGGAGAGGAAAGUGGAAUUCCUAGUGUAGCGGUGAAAUGCGUAGAUAUUAGGAAGAACACCAGUGGCGAAGGCGACUUUCUGGACGAAAACUGACGCUGAGGCGCGAAAGCCAGGGGAGCGAACGGGAUUAGAUACCCCGGUAGUCCUGGCCGUAAACGAUGGGUACUAGGUGUAGGAGGUAUCGACCCCUUCUGUGCCGGAGUUAACGCAAUAAGUACCCCGCCUGGGGAGUACGACCGCAAGGUUG